UACGUGAGGGGGCAAGCGUUGUCCGGAUUUAUUGGGCGUAAAGAGCGUGUAGGCGGCCUUACAGGUCAGCUGUGAAAACUCGAGGCUCAACCUCGAGACGUCGGUUGAAACCGUAAGGCUAGAGUCCGGAAGAGGAGAGUGGAAUUCCGGUGUAGCGGUGAAAUGACGCAGAUAUCGGGAAGAACAACCCGUGGCGAAGGCGGCUCUCUGGGACGGUAC
rnacentral:rRNA from 1 species